CCUGCAGAUUCCCACAAGCCCACAGGGCCAGUUGAUUUAGCCCUGUACUGGCGGGUAGCAGGAGCUAGCUUUCGCUGUGCUGCCUUCUCUGGUAAGAGAAGCAGCCUCUUCCAGACCAACUCCCACACAUACCUGGGACAGCUUCCUAGGCUUAUUGCCCUUCCACUGAAUAGGAGAAUCAGAAUAGAUUCCAUCUGCUGUCCUCCCUCAUUCCAGCUGGUCCCCACGGGCACACCUCAGCCCUGUACUCACAGAUCACUCAUCAGGACAUGGGAAACGCAGCAGAUCACCACUCCUACUGCCCUCCUCCAAAAUGUCUUCCCAUGUGGAUUACCAAAACCGACUUCUCUCCACCCCCAAUCCUUCCUUGCUCUCCUGAGCUUCCCCAUU
rnacentral:lncRNA from 1 species